rnacentral:rRNA from 1 species
CACGUAGGGCGCAAGCGUUGUCCGGAAUUAUUGGGCGUAAAGAGCUCGUAGGCGGUCUGUUGCGUCCGCUGUGAAAACUCGGGGCUUAACCCCGAGCCUGCAGUGGAUACGGGCAGACUAGAGGUAGGUAGGGGAGAAUGGAAUUCCCGGUGUAGCGGUGGAAUGCGUAGAGAUCCGGAAGAACACCGGGGGGCGAAGGCGGCUCGCUGGGGCAUGGUCCGACGCUGAGGCGCGAAAGCGUGGGGGAGCGAACAGG